rnacentral:rRNA from 1 species
UAGUGGCGAACGGGUGAGUAACACGUAGGGAACCUGCCCGCGCACCGGGAAUACGCUCUGGAAACGGAGAACAAAUCCCGAUGUACAGGAAGGAGGCAUCUUCUUUCUGUGAAACAUCCUUUAGGGGAUGGGGCGCGGAUGGACCUGCGGUGCAUUAGUUUGUUGGCGGGGUAAAGGCCCACCAAGACGAUGAUGCAUAGCCGGCCUGAGAGGGCGGACGGCCACAUUGGGACUGAGACACGGCCCAGACUCCUGCGGGAGGCAGCAGUGGGGAAUUUUGCGCAAUGGGGGAAACCCUGACGCAGCAACGCCGCGUGCGGGACGAAGGCCCUCGGGUUGUAAACCGCUUUCAGCAGGGAAGAUCCAAGACGGUACCUGCAGAAGAAGCUCCGGCUAACUACGUGCCAGCAGCCGCGGUAAUACGUAGGGGGCGAGCGUUAUCCGGAUUCAUUGGGCGUAAAGCGCGCGUAGGCGGCCGCCUAAGCGGGACCUCUAACCCCGGGGCUCAACCCCGGGCCGGGUCCCGGACUGGGCGGCUCGAGUGCGGUAGAGGAGAGCGGAAUUCCCGGUGUAGCGGUGGAAUGCGCAGAUAUCGGGAAGAACACCGAUGGCGAAGGCAGCUCUCUGGGCCGUCACUGACGCUGAGGCGCGAAAGCUGGGGGAGCGAACAGGAUUAGAUACCCUGGUAGUCCCAGCCGUAAACGAUGGGCGCUAGGUGUGGGGGGACGAUCCCUCUCGUGCCGCAGCCAUGGCAUUAAGCGCCCCGCCUGGGGAGUACGGCCGCAAGGCUAAACUUCAAAGGAAUUGACGGGGGCCCGCACAAGCAGCGGAGCAUGUGGCUUAAUUCGAAGCAACGCGAAGAACCUUACCCGGCCUUGAUAUCCUCCCGAAUAGAGAGUAAUGUCUUUAGCCCUUCGGGGCGGGAGAGACAGGUGGUGCAUGGUUGUCGUCAGCUCGUGUCGUGAGAUGUUGGGUUAAGUCCCGCAACGAGCGCAACCCCUGCCGUCAGUAGCCAGCAGGUAAAGCUGGGCACUCUGAUGGGACAGCCUGGGAUAACCAGGAGGAAGGCGGGGAUGACGUCAAAUCAUCAUGCCCCUUAUGGCCGGGGCUACACACGUGCUACAAUGCCGUAAACAGAGGGAAGCGAGACAGCGAUGUAGAGCAAAGCCCAAAAAUAACGCCUCAGUUCGGAUUGCAGCCUGCAACUCGGCUGCAUGAAGCCGGAAUCGCUAGUAAUCGCGAAUCAGAAUGUCGCGGUGAAUACGUUCCCGGGUCUUGUACUCACCGCCCGUCA